rnacentral:rRNA from 1 species
UACGUAGGCAGCGAGCGUUGUUCGGAGUUACUGGGCGUAAAGGGUGUGUAGGCGGUUUUCUAAGUCUGGUGUGAAAUCUCCCGGCUCAACUGGGAGGGUGCGGCGGAAACUAGAGUGCUAGAGUAUGGGAGAGGUAAGCGGAAUUCCUGGUGUAGCGGUGAAAUGCGUAGAUAUCAGGAGGAACACCUGUGGUGUAGGCAGCUUACUGGACCAUGACUGACGCUGAGGCACGAAAGCGUGGGUAGCAAACAGG